rnacentral:rRNA from 1 species
UACGGGGGGAGCAAGCGUUGUUCGGAUUUACUGGGCGUAAAGGGCGCGUAGGCGGCCACCGCAAGUCGGUUGUGAAAUCUCCGGGCUUAACCCGGAAAGGUCAAUCGAUACUGCGGGGCUAGAGUGCAGAAGGGGCAACUGGAAUUCUCGGUGUAUCGGUGAAAUGCGUAGAUAUCGAGAGGAACACCUGCGGCGAAGGCGGGUUGCUGGGCUGACACUGACGCUGAAGCGCGAAAGCUAGGGGAGCGAACGGG